rnacentral:rRNA from 1 species
GAUGAACGCUAGCUACAGGCUUAACACAUGCAAGUCGAGGGGAAACGACAUCGAAAGCUUGCUUUUGAUGGGCGUCGACCGGCGCACGGGUGAGUAACGCGUAUCCAACCUGCCCACCACUUGGGGAUAACCUUGCGAAAGUAAGACUAAUACCCAAUGAUAUCCCACGAAGGCAUCCGAAUGGGAUUAAAGAUUUAUCGGUGAUGGAUGGGGAUGCGUCUGAUUAGCUUGUUGGCGGGGUAACGGCCCACCAAGGCAACGAUCAGUAGGGGUUCUGAGAGGAAGGUCCCCCACAUUGGAACUGAGACACGGUCCAAACUCCUACGGGAGGCAGCAGUGAGGAAUAUUGGUCAAUGGGCGGAAGCCUGAACCAGCCAAGUAGCGUGCAGGACGACGGCCCUAUGGGUUGUAAACUGCUUUUANGCGGGGAUAAAGUGGGCCACGCGUGGCCUUUUGCAGGUACCGCAUGAAUAAGGACCGGCUAAUUCCGUG